AAAAAUUCAAUUGCUACCUAAUAAGGAAAGAAAUAUGUGAGAAAAUAUAUGAGUUGAUAGCUCAAUGAAUGGAGAAAUUCAAAAAUAAAUAUACUUUUCCAUUUUACAUUUUUAUCAAAAAUCGAAUUCAUAUCAUUGAAUAAUUCGCAAGAUAACAUCAUAUAAUUAUAACCAAAAUGUAAGACAUUCACAUAACAUCAUAAAAUAUCAUCUCAAAAUCAAGCUAUAAACAUCAAAUAAUAACUAUACUAUAAUUUCAUCAUAUCAAAUAUAUUGAAAAUUUCACAAAAAAUGGACCCUCUAACUAAAAUCUGUAAUUUGCCCUCGGGCUAAAAACUUUCGUCAUGGGCCUUUGGCCCCUUCGUCAAUGAAAAUCGGUGUCAAGACCUCUGAUAAUUAAUUCUAGAACAGGACCAAGGCCUAUCUGUGAACUAUAUGUACACGAUCAAGAUCAAUAUCCAAUCAAGACCCCUCCGUGUAAAAUAAAACACGACUAAGGCCCCUCUAUGAACUAGAAGAAAUAUAUAAUCAUAGGUACUUUUCUGACCGAUCUCAAUAUCACAUAUGUCUCACAUACCAAGUCAUAAAUGUACCAUAAGUAAUCUUUGAAAUUCCACAUGUAUCAUAAUAAAAGAUAAUUCUAUAAUAACUGUAAAAUCGAACACAUAAUUGCAUAUACUUGAUUUAUAAGUACUUAAAAAAUAUUUAAGUUUAUCUACUCACAGAACUAUAUACGCCAAAAUCAACUUGGUUUGUAAACUGUCCCGUUAUUCGUAUCGCCGCCUAAAAUAUGAUAUAAUUUUUAAAUCAACAAUUAACUAUUUUAAGUAAUUUCAAUAAUUAAAUAGACGAAACCCAAACUAAUUAUUUCACAUUUAAGUGAUUUCUAAAGUCUCUUUAAUCACUUAAACAAAUUUUUCUUUCACUUAACUCAAUUUCAUAACUUAUUAUACUUAAUUCAAUGAUUCGCUUUCAAUAAAAUUGAAUUUAAACUAACAAUCUAACAACUAUCAAAUUAAACACAACUAUGUAAUGAGCAACUUUUUACUUACCGUUUGAAAUUGAGAAAUUCAAGCUUAAUAGUAGGAAGCACUUAAUUCCUAACAAUGUUGGUGAACUUUACUAUUUUUUCUUCUUCCUCCUGCUUUUUUGCUUUCUCUUUUCUCUUUCUUUUCUCUCGGUAUCGUUUUCUCUUUUUGUGUGUAUUGUGUGUGUUUAUAGUUUGAAAUGGAUUUUGAUUGAAUUAUCAAUCCAAUUCCACCAGCAAAAUCUUUUUCUUUUAUUUGUUUUUAGUUUUUAUUUAUGACAUCUUUGACUUUUCUUUUCUUUUUUGUUUACUAAAUUAAGGUAUUACAGAACUCAUCCCCUUAAUAGAAUUUCGGUCCUCGAAAUUCAAUUGACUAAGUACUAAAAAUCUAGGGAUACUGAGAAUGCAUCUACUCUUUACUUUUCCACGUCUCUUCUUCUACAAUAUGAUUCAUCGACAAGAUUUUAACCAAAGGAAUAGUCUUAGUACACACAUAUUCCUUUCUAUCCAAUAUCUGAACUGGCUCUUCUUCAAACGUAAGAUUUUCUUUCGGCUCUACUAAUUGUAAUUCCAAAAUAUGAGAUGGAUCUGAAAUAUACUUACGAAACAUGGAAACAUGGAAUAUGUCGUGAAUUCUGGACAAUUCAAUUGGCAAAGCCAACCGAUAAGCAACUAGACCAAUACGUUCAACAAUCUUAUAUGGGCCAACAUACCUCGGACUCAAUUUACCCUAUUUACCAAAUCUAAUAACACCUUUUAAUGGCAAUAAUCGCAGAAAAACUCGGUUCCCAAAUUCAAAUUCAAUGUUUAUUCUGCGUCUAUCUGCAUAGUUCUUCUGUCUAUUUUGGCCUGUCUUUAACUUUUCUUUAAUUAUUUUCUUUAAUUAUCUUUACUUUCUCAGCAGUAAUCUGAACAUAUUCAGGACCUAAUAACUUUCUUUCGCCUACUUCAUCACAACAUAUUGGAGUUUUGCAUUUCCCACCAUCUCUAUCUAAAACAAUAGAUACUAGUGCCUUAUACAAAUUAAGUACCUCAUGAACAUAUAUUUUUGCCGAUUCAUCUAUCGAGUAAGGGACUUUAAUAGGCAAAAAUUUGGUAGUCUUCGUCAAUCUGUCUACAACGAUCCAUAUGCCGUCAUGCCCACUCUAAGUCCGUGGAAGUCCAAAUAAGAAAUCCAUAGUAACGCGCUACCAUUUCCACUCAGGAAUAGACAAUGUUUGUAAUAAUCCUACUGUUUUCCAAAGAUCUGGUUUUACUUGCUGGCAAAUGAGACAUUCGAAUCCAAACUCAACUAUUUCUCUCUUCAUUCCAUGCCACAAAUAGUGUUCUUUAAGUACAUGAUACAUUUUAGUAUUACCUGGAUGCAUCGUGUAAGCUGAACUAUGUGCCUUUAAUAGAAUUUCUCUUUUCAAUUUCGAUUCGUCUGGAACACAUAAUCUAUUUUCGACAGCUAAAGCUCCAUCAUCUAAAUGGUAUAAUCUGUAUUCUUUUACUAACCUCUUCUUUUAAUUGGAUCAACACUGGAUCUUGAGUUUGAGCUUCUCUAACUUUGUUAAUCAAGGUAGGUCUCAUUUGAAAGUUGGUAAACAAUGCGCCUACACUAUUAACUAACAAUUGGACAUGUAAAGCUCUGACCUCACCAAAUAAGGAAGAAUAUACUGCAUUAGUCGGGUUCAUAGGACGCGAUGUCUUCGUACUAAGAGCAUCAGCAACUACAUUAGCAUUCCUUGGAUGAUAAUCAAUAUUAUAGUCGUAAUCUUUUAUCAACUCUAACCAUCUUCUUUGCCUCAAGUUCAACUCUUUUUGAUAAAAAAUAUACUUUAAACUUUUAUGAUCUAUGUAUAUCUGACAUCUCUCACCAUACAAGUAAAUGUCUCCAAAUCUUCAAUGCUAGGACAACUACAGCUAGCUCUAAGUCAUGUGUAGGAUAACUUAGUUCAUAUUUCUUCAACUGUCAGGAAGCAUGCUCUAUAACUUUCCCAUUCUGUAUCAAAACACAACCAAAAUCCUGAUGUGAAGUAUCACUAUAUAUCACAAACUCUUCAUCGGGAGAAGGAAGGGUAAGAACUGAAGCUGACACUAAUCGAUUCUUCAAUCGGAGGGAACUUCUUUCACAAUCUUCAUUUCAAACAAAUUUAGCAUUCUUUCUAAUCAGACUGGUAAAAAAAAGAGCAAUCUUAGAAAAUUCCUCUAAAAACGAUGGUAAUAACCUCUAAGCCAAAAAAAACUUCGUAUUUCUGUCAUAUUAAUAGGCAUUUUCCAUUUUACCACUAUCUCAGUUUUCUACGAGUCAACAUAAAUUCCCUCUACAUGUACGACAUGUCCAGAAAAUAUCACUCUAUAAAGCAAAAAUUGACAUUUACUGAACUUAGCAUAUAACUACGUAUAGCGUGGAGUUUACAAAAUGAUUCUGAGAUACUCUGUGUGCUCAUCAUGAUCUGGAGAGUAGAUUAAAAUAUCAUAGAUGAAUACAAUCACAAAUAUGUCUAAAUACGAGCAAAACACUCUAUUCAUCAUAUCCAUAAAUGCUGCUGGUACGUUGGUAAACUCAAAUGGCAUCACAAUGAACUUAUAAUGACCAUAUCUUGUCCUGAAAGAAGUUUUCGGCACUUCACUAUCCUCGAUUUUAAGUUCAUGAUAUCCAAAACAUAUAUAAAUCUUUCAGAAUACUGCAGCACUGUGAAGUUGAUCAAACAAAUCAUCAAUACGUGGAAAAUGAUAUUUAUUGCGAAUUGUCACUUUGUUCAACUGUCUAUAAUAUAUACACAAUUGCAUGGUGCCAUCACUCUUCUUCACAAAUAGGAUUGGUUCUCCUCACGGAGAUACAUUAGGUCUGAUAAAGCCCUUAUCCACCAACUCUUGCAACUGAACUUUUAGCUCUUUCAAUUCUUUUGGUGGCAUUCUAUAUGGUGUCUAUGAAAUAGAUGCAGUUCCUAGAAUCAAAUCUAUGGUGAACUCAAUAUCCCUGUCUGAUGGUAAACCUGGUAGUUCCACUAGAAACACAUCCCAAAAGUCUCUGACUACUGGGAUGUCUUCAAUUUUUAGUUUGUUAACAUCCAUAUCAAUCAUAUGAACCAAUUAUACAUACCAGUCCUAAUUGAGUAAUCUUCUAUCGUCAAUAACAGAAAUUAUACAAGAUAGUAAAAUUCUAUGCUAUCCAUUUAAUAUAACUUCAAACUGUCCUAGCUAUCUAAAUGCAACCUCUUUUCGAAACAAUCAGUUGAAGCUCGAUUUGUAGCCAGCAAGUCUAUACUCAAGAUAACAUCAAAAUCACAUAUUUCAAGAGAUAUCAAAUUUUCCUUGAGCUCGUGCUCCUUUACCUUAAUCCCACAAUCUUAAUAUAUAUAGUUUGCUAUUAGUGAUUCUCCUAUAGGUGUACACACUAUUAAACAACUGCCUAAAGGUUUUGGCUUUUGAUGCGCAUAUAAAGCAAAUGCAAAUGAAAUAAAAGAAUGUGUAAAUCCAGAAUCAAUCAAAAUAAGAGCAUAUCUAUUAAAAAUAGACAGCAUACUCAUUAUAACAUCUGGUGACUCCUCUGCCGCUUGUUGAGUUAUAGGAAAAAUCUUUCCCUGGGUCUUCAGCUAUCCUACUUAACCUUUUGAUUUCGUACCACUACCACUUGCAAAAUUUGACUAGGCUACGUUGUUUGCACCUAUUCUAUUAGCUAAAGCAUCUCUCGGAGUGUGAUUCUAUCUGGUACUAUCAACACUCUACUGAAUAGGCAUAUCCUCUGUACCAUGUCACUCUCCCAUGAUAGAACUGGACAAUUUCUUUUAAUAUGUUCGCCUUGGCCACAAUGAUACCUGACAGCGCUUCCUCUGAGCUUUAAGCACGUGCCAAGAUGAGGUCUUUCACAAAACUGACAAUAAGGAAGUCUAGUACUAGUAGAGCUCUCGAUCUGUCUCGAAGUAAAUAAUCUUUGGAAGAACCAUGAGUAUGAGGAUGACUAGUCAAUGGUUGCUGCAUAGUAUUGUCAUUGAAUCUAGGACCCUGACUUCCACAUGAUUGAGACUUGAAUUGACCUGAAUUGGACACACCAGGUCAAAAUUCUCUACUGUUUCUCUAAGAUGGUCUAUAGUUAGAAGCACAUGCCAUUGCCUGACUACUACUUGCUUUAAAUAUUAUUUGUUCUCUACCACUUGGUCUAUCAGAAAUGCUCUUUUCUACUCUCAAAAUUGAUUCCACUAAUUUGCCAAAUUCAUUCCAAUCUGUAGCUGUUACUGUUGACUUGAUCUCUUUCCUUAACCCAUUUUCAAACCGUCUACAUUUAUCAAUUUCGUUGCUUACCAGAACUUGGGCAUACUUUGAAAGUUCAAUAAAUUUCACCUGAUAUUUUGCAACAGUCAUCUAUCCCUGUACUAACUUCAAAAAUUCCUCAUUCUUUGCAUCUUUAUAGGAACGAGGGUAAUAGACAUUAUAAAAAAUACAUCUAAAAUCUAUCCAAGUAAUACGAGAAGAGUCUCGAUAGGUGCUCUAUACUGAUUGUCACCAAUCAUAUGCACCCCCAUCCAAUAAAAAAGUAGCAAGACACAACUUUCGAUCAUCUGGGCAACCCAUAACAUCAUAUACUCUUUCUAUCUUGGUCAUACAUGCUUGAGCAACUGCAGGAUCGACUGUGCCUGUGAAAACUUUAGCCCCUAAUUUUGUAGUUCUCUUAAUACUGAAAUCUCGAUCAAUACUACGCAUAGCAGAGGCAACAGUAGUAGCAAUUCUCUCAACAAUCACAUGAUUAUUUCCAAUUACAUUUCCCUAUCUCCGAUGCUUAGGAUGGUAGUGAACUGAUUCAUCUAUUCUCUUGGAUUCUCUAUGUUCAUCUCUAUCAAGAGCAAUGUGAGACCAGGGCAACAUAUCUUUAUGCCUUCGAGUUCUGUUACCACCAGUCAUGAGUCACCUACAGUUAUGCAUAAUAUGCUAAACAUUAGAAUGUAUAAAUGUAUAAUGCAAACUUGUAUACUCUAAAGCAUGCUCUGAUACCAAACUGACACUUUCCACCCCGUGUAACACUAUUGGACUCAGAACGUUAUAUGCAUCGAUGAUACCAACUAAAGUUCGAACCCAUCUUCAAGGCUACUACAUCUACAAUAUGCAACUUUUUAAAAUUUACUUUUUUAACAGAAUUUCGAUAUUAUCUCCCCUAUAAAUAUAACUAACCAAUUUUGUAAUCCACUAUACACAAAUAACGAUAAGCCGAAAUCUCAAUAUUUAUCAAGAUAAUAAUAUGAAGUGUACAUAUGGAUAAGCCCCAUGACUAUCUCUAAAUGAUGCAAAAUCACAUGUGAACAUGAACAUGCAUCCCAAAAGAAUGGACAACAUGCUCUAUGAAGUGAGUUAUACUAGCAAACAUUGUCGUGUGACUCUGACUCCAAAAUCAAAGGCUCAACUGCAAAAGGUGCCCUGAUACUCAAUUGUUGCCUAAUAAAAAAAUAUGAAAAAAUAUAUGAGUUGAUAGCUUAGUGAGUGGAGGAGUUCGAAAAUAAUUACACUUUUUCAUUUAUACAUUUUUAUCGAAAAUUAAGUUCAUAACAUUUAAUACUUCACUAGAAAAUAUCAUACAAUUAUAGCCAAAAAAAUGAAACAUCCACAUAAGAUCGUAAAAUAUCAUCUCAAAAUCACGUUAUAAACAUUAGACGGUAACCAUACUAUAAUCUCAUCACAUUAAAUGUACUAAAAAUCCACAAAAAAUAUACCCUCUAACUGAAAUCUGUAAGGUAGUCAUAUGCGCGUAGACUGCCUCUUAGGCUAAGCACUUUCGACACGAGCCUCAAGCCCUCUCAGUGAACGGAAGUCGGCCUCAAAGAUAUUUCACAAUCAAUUCUAGAAUACAGCCAAAACCUCUCAGUGAACUAUAUGAACACAGUCAAGUCCCUUUCAUCCCUAGUCAAGACUCCUUAGUGUAAUAUAGAACACGGCCAUGACUCUUCAGUGAACUAGAAGAAAUAAAUAAUCAUGGUUACUUUUCUGACCGAUCUCAAUAUCACAUAGGUCUCACAUACCAGGACUAAGGCACAAAUGUACCGCAAAUAAUUCUUGACAUUCCCAUGUAUUAUAAUAAAAGAGAUUUCCAUGACAAUCAUAUAAUCGAACACAUUAUUGCACAUGCUUUAAUAAUAUUUUUAAUUUACAAAUAUUUUUAAAAUAUUUAAGUUUUUCCACUCACAGGAUUAUGUACGCAAAAAUAACUCGAUUGGUAAGAUAUCCCGAUAUCCGUAUCACCGCCUAAAAUAUGAUAUAACUUUUAGAUUAACAAUUAACUAUUUUAAGUAAUUUCAAUAAUUAAAUAGGCAAUACCAAAUUCAAAUCUUUUUAUACUUAAACAAUUUUCCCAAUGUCUUUAAUCAUUUGAGCUAUUUUUUCCUUUCCUUAAUUUAAUUUCAUAGCUUAUUACACUUAAUUCAGUAAUUCCUUUUCAAUAAAAUUAAAUUUAAACUAACAAUCUAACAACUAUAGAAAUAAACAUAACUUUCCAAUAAAUAAGUUUUUACUUACCUUUAAAUUUGAAGAAUUCAAGCCUACUAAUAUAAACCAUUUAUUUUCUAACAACUUAGCGAAUUUUUCUAUUUUUUUCUUCUUUUUCUCUCCUCUUUCUUUUCUUCCUACUCUCGUUUUCUUUCUAGUGUACGUUUUUGUGUGACAAAUUGAUUUGGGUUGUAUAUAUAUAAAUGGGAAUGGAUUUCGAUGACUUUGGUGGAUAUAUAUGCCUGCCAAUUCAUUUUUUUCCUUCAAAUCUUUAAUUUUGUUGAACAAAUUUUCCGUUGACUUUUCUUUUACUUAGUUAAAGUAUUACAAAACUCACCCCUUAAAAGAAUUUCAUUUUCGAAAUUCAAUUGACUAAGUACAAAAUAGCUAUGGACAUGUCGCUUCUUCUACAGUACGAUUCAUCCACAAGGCUUUAACCAAAGGAAUAGUCUUACUACGCAAGAUAUGUUCCUUUCUAUCCAAUAUCUGAAUUAGUUCUUCUUCAUAGGUAAGAUUUUCUUUCAACUCUACUGGUUGUGAUUCCAAAACAUGGGAAGUAUCUGGAACAUACCUAUGAAGCAUGGAAACAUGGAAUACAUCAUAAAAUUCUAGACAAUUACAUUGGCAAAGCCAAUCGAUAAGCAACUGGACCAAUGCCUUCAACAAUCUCAUAUGGGCCAAUAUACCUCGAACUCAACUUACCCCGUUUACCAAAUCUAAUAACACCUUUUCAUGGCGAUAAUCGUAGGAAAACUCUAUCCCCAAAAUCAAAUUCAAGGUUCCUUUUACGUCUAUCUGCUUAAUUCUUAUAUCUAUCUUGGGCGUUAUUUAACUUUUCUUUAAUUAUCCUUAAUUUCUCAGUAGUAAUUUGAACAUAUUUAGGACCUAAUAACUUUGUAUCGCCUACUUCAUCCAACAUACUGGAGUUCUGCAUUUCCUACCAUACAGUGCUUCGAAAGGAACCAUUUCCAUGCUCGAAUGAUAACUUUUAUUAUAAGCAAACUCCAUCAAAGGAAGAUGAGUAUCUCAAUUCCCUUUAAACCUUAGUACACAAGCUCGUAACAUGUAUUCUAAAGUCUUAAUAGUUCUUUUUGACUGACCAUCUGUCUCUGGAUGAAAAGGUAACUAAAAUGUAGUUUAGUACCAAUAGCUUUCUUCAAACUGGGCUAAAAUUCAGAAGUGAAACGAGAAUCUCUAUCUGAAACAAUAGAUACUGGUGCCCCAUACAAUCUUAUUAUCUCAUCAACAUAUAUUUUUGCUAAUUUAUCUAGCGAGUAAGUGACUUUAAUAGGCAAAAAUUUAACAAUCUUCCUAAAUCUGUCUAUAAUGAUCCAUAUGUCGUCAUGCCCAUUCUAGCUCCAUGGAGUCCAAAUAAGAAGCUCAAAGUAAUGUGCUACAAUUUCCACUCAGAAAUAGGCAACGUCUGUAAUAAUCCUACUCUUUUCUGACGAUCUGGUUUUAUUUGCUAGAAAAUGAGAUAUCCGGAUACAAACUUAGCUAUUUCUCUCUUCAUUCCAUGCCCCAUCUAGUGUUUGUGUACACGAUACAUUUUAGUACUACCUGGAUGCAUUGCGUAAGAUGAAUAUGUGCCUAUGCUAGAAUUUCUGUCUUCAAUUUUGAAAAGUCUGGAACACAUAGUCUACUUCUGAUAACUAAAACUUCAUCAUCUCGAAUGGUGUAAUAUGUAUUCUUACCUUUACUAACCUCUUCUUUCAAUCCGUUCAAAAUUAGAUCUUGAGUUUGAGCUUCUCUAACUGUGUUAAUUAAGGCAAGCCUCACUUGAAAGUUGGCAAACAAUGGUCCUACAUUGGUAACUGACAAUUGGACAUGUGAAGCUUUGAAGUCACCAAACAACGAAGAACAUACUGCAUUAGUCAGGUUCAUAGGACUCGAUGUCUUCCUACUGAGAGUGCCAGCAACUACAUUAGCCUUUUCUGGAUGAUAAUCAAUGAUGCAGUCGUAAUCUUUUAUCAACUCUAACCAUCUUCUUUGCCUCAGGUUCAACUCUUUCUGAUCAAAAUAUACUUUAAGCUUUUAUAAUCUGUAUAUAUGAGACAUCUCUCACCAUACAAGUAAUGUCUCCAAAUCUUCAAUGCUAGGACAACUGCAACUAGCUAUAAGUCAUGUGUAGGAUAACUCAAUUCAUGUUUCUUCAACUAUCAGGAAGCAUACACUAUAACGUUCCCAUUCUGCAUCAAAACACAACCAAGACCCUGACGUGAAGCAUCGCUAUAUAUCACAAACUCUUUAUCGGGAGACGGAAGGGUAAGGACUAGAGCUGACACUGAUCGAUUAUUCAAUCAGAGGGAACUUCUUUCACAGUCUUCAUUCCAAACAAAUUUAGCAUUUUUUCUAGUCAAACUGGUUAAAGAAAUAGCAAUCUUAGAAAAAUCCUCUACAAAACGACAGUAAUAACCUGCUAAGCCAAGAAAACUUCGUAUUUUUGUCACAUUAGUAGGCCUUUCCCAUUUUAUCACUGCCUCAGUUUUCUGCGAAACAUAAAUUCCCUCUGCAUAUAUAACAUGUUCCAAAAAUAUCACUCUAUCAGCCAGAAUUCACAUUUACUGAACUUAGCAUAUAACUGCUUAUCACGUGGAGUCUGCAAAAUGAUUUUGAGAUGCUCUAUGUGCUCAUCAUGAUCUUGAGAGUACACUAAAAUAUCAUCGAUGAAUACAAUCACAAAUCUGUUUAAAAACGAGCAAAACUCUAUAUUCAUCAUAUCCAUAAUGCUGCCGGUACGUUGGUCAACCCAAAUGGCAUCACGAGGAACUUAUAUUGACCAUAUCUUGUCCUGAAAGCAAUUUUUGGCACAUCACUGUCCUCGAUUUUAGGUUGAUGAUAUCUAGAACGCAAAUUAAUCUUUAAGAAUACUGCAGCACCACGAAGCUUAUCAAACAUAUUAUCAAUAUGUGGAAAGGAAUAUUUAUUGCGAAUUGUCACUUUGUUCAACUGUUUGUAAUCUAUGCAAAGUCGCAUGGUGCUAUCUUUCUUCUUCACAAAUAGGACUGUGCUCUUGACGGAGAUACACUAGAUCUGAUAAAGCCCUUAUCCACCAACUCUUGCAACUGAACCUUUAGCUCUUUCAAUUCUGCUGGUGUCAUUCUAUAUGGUGCCCAUGAAAUAGGUGCAAUUCCUGGAAUAAUUAAAUAGACGUACCAAAUUCGAAUAUUUUUUUACUUAAAUAAAUUCCCCAACUUUUUUAAUCAUUAAAGUUUUUUUUUUUUUUGCCUUUCCUUAAUUUAAUUUCAUAGCUUAUUACACUUAAUUCAAUAAUUCCUUUUCAAUAAAAUUGAAUUUAAACUAACAAUCUAACAACUAUAAAAUUAAAUAACUAAGUUUUUACUUACCUUUAAAUUUGAAAAAUUCAAGCAUACUAGUAUAAACAACUUAUUUUCUUAACAACUGGGCGAAUUUUUCUAUUUUUUUUUUCUUCCUCUCUUUUUCUUCCUUCUUUUUCUUUCCUGUUUUCUCUUUCUUUUCUCCUUGCUCUCGUUUUCUUUCUAAGGUGUGUUGUGUGUGUUUUUGUGUGACAAAUGGAUUAGGGUUGUCUAUAUAUAUAUAUAUAUAUAUAUAUAUGGGAAUGGAUUUGGAUGACUUUGGUGGAUAUAUAUAUAUAUAUCCACUGCCUACCAAUUCGUUUCUUUUUUUUUCAAAUCUUUAAUUUUGUUGACCAAAUCUUUUAAUUUUCUUUUACUUAGUUAAAGUAUUACAAAAGGACUUUUUAGAAUUCGACAAAGGUAUAAUUUCUAUCACAGUUUCUUUCUAAAUACAAAGCAGAUUCUUGGUGAAAAUUAAAAUUUUGCUUAAAUUUCGGUGUGCACGAUUAAGUAAAUUCUUAACAACAGAAUCCUCCAACUACCAUACAGGUAUUAGUCAUGAUAUAUCACAACCUCCCAUUGACACUUUGGAAGCAAAUCAACCUGUUCUGGCACAUUUACCUCAUAGGUCUGGAAGAAAUAAAAGGGCUCCUUCUCACUUGUAAGACUUCAUAUUUCAGCAAGUUUCGUUACCUCCUCCAUCUCAGAAGUUGGACAAGCAAAGUAAGUGAACACUGCAUGUAGUCUCUUUUUCCUUAGUUAUAGUAUUUCCUAUGAUAAACUGUCUACACUUCACUAUGUUUUUGUAGCUUCCAUAAGAAAUCACUACGAGCCUUGGAACUAUCAAGAAGCCAUGACCUUUCCUGAAUGGUGUGCAGUCAUGAAAGCCGAGAUUGAGGCUCUAUAACUUAAUUAUACUUGGUUUUUGGUUGAUCAACAACUUUCUGCUGCAAAUGAGUUUACAAACACAAAUUUAAUUUUGAUGUAGUAUUGAGAGGUUCAAAGAACAUCUUGUGGUAAAGGGAUACACUCAACGGGCUUGACUACUAUAAAACCUUUUUCUCAUGUGGCUAAGUUAGUCAUUGUUAGAACCUUGUUAGUAGUGGCAACAAUCAAGUGCUGGAAUUUAUGCUAAUUUGACGUAGAUAAUGCUUUCUUACAUGGUGAUUUAGAUGAGGAUGUUUACAUGGUCCUGCCCCCCGGUUAUUCAAUUGUCAGUGGCAACAAAGUCUACAAACUUUACAAAAGCUUGUAUGGAUUGAAGGAAGCUUCACAUCAAUGGAAUAAAAUCUCUAAGUUUAUUAUUGAGCAAGGGUACAUCCAAUUAAAAACAUAUUAUAGUUUAUUUAAUAAAUCUACUAUCGGCUCUGUUACUACUAUUUUAGUUUAUGUAGACGAUAUAAUAAUGACAGAAAAUUAUGUUGGUACUAUCAAUUAUUUCAAAGUCUCUCAAUGACAAGUUCAAAUUAAAGACCUAGCCAGGAAAGUUGAAGUACUUCCUAGGGAUUGAAGUGGCCAGAUCUUUGCGUGGCAUUGAUAUAUGCCCGAGAAAAUACUCUUUAGAUAUUUUGGUAGAUUCAGGCACCAUUGGUUCAGCUCUGACUAGGAUUUCCUUUGAUCCGAAUGUGACAAUUAGCAAGGAAGAUGGAAGAGUUGCUCACGGAUGUAACAUUUUACAAAAGAUUACUUGAAAGGUUACUUUAUUUAACAAUCACUUGGCCUAAUCUUGAAUGCUCAAUCCAGUUGUUAACGAUCUUACUUUAUUUAACAAUCACUAGGAUGCCACAUCUACGUGUUGCUCAUAAAAUAUUUCGAUACAUCAAAAGAAAACCUGGACAAAUGUCGUUUUAUCCUACAAAUUCAAAAUUGAAGCUGGAAUGUUAUUGUGAUACAAACUAGGGGGCUUACCUUCUCAGCAGAAAAUCGGGAACAGACUAUAAUGUAUUUAUUGGGACAGCUUUAGUAUCAUGGAAAUUGAAGAAAAAACAUGUGGUACCUCGAUCCUCUGCUGAAGUAGAGUACAUGCCAAUGGCAACCUUUGUUUUGCUGUGAGUUAACUUGGCUCAGGUAUUUGAUUAAGGACUUAUAGAUUACACAUCAUCAAGCAGUGGUUCUACAUUGUGAUAAUAAGUUUACAACAGUCACAGACACAGUCUUUCAUGAAAGAACCAAACACAUAGAGCUUGACAGCCAUCUUGUUCGAGAAAAGAUAUAAGAUGGCAGCAUCAUCAAUCAACAUGUCUCUAGUGCAUCACAAAUUGCAGACAUUUUAACCAAAGCUCUAAAUUCCCAAAACUUAUACUUUUGUAGGCUCAAGAUGGAAGUAGUGAAUGUUUACUCUCCAUCUUGCAGGGACUAUUGAAGCACUGGCAUAGUUAGUAGGAAGAAAGUCAGCUGGGAUCAGUGACAAGGCAGCAACAGAAGAAGAGCUUAGAAGGAGGGGAGAAGAAGCUUCCAGAAAAUAGAAAAUAAUGAUAUUCGUAUAGAUCGCAUUCUGUUAUUGUACAGCUUGAAUUUUUUAUUUGUGUAAAGUUUUGACAGCUGCAUUCUUCGUAUAGAUGGAAUCGGUAAGUGCAGAUUCUUCUAUAUCUUUAUAUAUAUAUAUACCACUAUUGUACAUUUAAC
rnacentral:lncRNA from 1 species